AGCUUAGGGUGGUGGGCUGGCCACGCAGGCGCGUGGGGCCGCGACGAGAACCCCACGCGGGAGCUUUUGGAGUCCCCAGUCGCCGCUUCUCACUUCACUGGAGAGGGGUCCGGGAGGGAACCAAUAAAGAGUGAAUGUGCCGCAGCCGCGGUGGCGGCCGAGUUGCUGCGAACGGCCCCGGAGUCGUGCGCCCGGGAGGCGGCGAAGGGAGGCGGUUCGCCUCGUCCCUCCCACCCGCCCCUUUCUCUCUCGGUCUCUCUCUCUGUCUCUCCUUUCCUCCCGCUGGUCCCAGAUCCUCGCUCUGUCCAGCCCUUUGGUCCCCCCUCUUGCACUCUUCUAUCUCCGCAGUCCUUUACCUUAGGGCGUCCCAAAGUGCCAUGGGUUAGGGUGGGGACCGCGAGCCGCGGGAAAAGGACAAGCCCCGAUUCUCCGCCGGGGGGCGUGAAGCCGAUCGCCGCUUGCCUCUCGCGGUUGUCGGGUAUGGGGAGAGCGGUGUGAGCCCGCAACCCCCGGAGCACGCAGGAACAGCGGAGCCCGGCGCCCCGAGGAGGAGCCCGGGAUCGGAAGAAGGAGAGGAGGGAGGACGAGGAGGCGGGCGGGGAAGCCGGGGAAAAGUGCAGCCAAGGAGGAGAAGGCGGCGGAAGGUGGGGAUUGAUGCUUCUGUUUUUUGUUGCCGCUGCUGCGCUCGCGCUGGGAGCCAAGCCGGAGGGAAGGCGGUGGAGAGAUGAUUGCAGAGUUGGUGAGCAGCGCUCUGGGGCUCGCCUUGUAUCUCAACACCCUGAGUGCUGAUUUCUGCUACGAUGACAGCCGUGCUAUCAAGACUAAUCAAGACCUCCUGCCAGAAACCCCCUGGACACACAUUUUCUACAAUGACUUUUGGGGGACUCUUCUAACCCACAGCGGUAGCCACAAGUCCUACCGGCCACUCUGCACUCUCUCUUUUCGACUGAAUCAUGCCAUUGGAGGGCUGAAUCCCUGGAGCUAUCACCUUGUCAAUGUCCUGUUGCAUGCGGCUGUCACCGGCCUCUUCACACGCUUCUCCAAGGCCCUCCUUGGGGACGGAUACUGGACCUUCAUGGCUGGCUUGAUGUUUGCUUCACACCCCAUCCACACGGAAGCGGUGGCGGGCAUCGUGGGACGAGCAGAUGUGGGCGCUAGUCUCUUUUUUCUCCUGUCCCUGCUCUGCUACAUUAAGCACUGUUCUACAAGAGGCUACUCUGCCAGAACUUGGGGCUGGUUCCUGGGGACUGGAUUGUGCGCUGGAUGCAGCAUGCUUUGGAAAGAGCAAGGAGUGACUGUCCUGGCAGUUUCAGCCGUUUAUGACGUCUUUGUCUUCCACAGGCUAAAAAUGAAGCAGAUCCUGCCUACCAUUUACAAAAGGAAGAACUUGUCUCUUUUUCUCAGCAUUAGCUUGUUAACAUUCUGGGGGACCUGCCUUUUGGGUGCCCGGCUGUACUGGAUGGGCAAUAAACCACCAAGCUUCUCCAACUCCGACAACCCCGCGGCUGACUCGGACAGCCUUUUGGCUCGCACGCUCACCUUCUUGUAUUUACCUACCAAGAACCUCUGGCUAUUGCUCUGCCCGGACACCCUGAGCUUUGAUUGGUCCAUGGAUGCCGUGCCUCUUCUCAAAACAGUUUGUGAUUGGAGAAAUCUACACACUGUGGCCUUCUAUUCUGGACUUCUCCUCCUUGCCUACUGUGGUUUGAAGAACCCAAGUUUAGAAGGAGAGUGCAACGGGAAAGCCUUGACAAAUGGCAAGCAGAAUGCAAAUGGCCAUAGCUGCCACUCAGACGUGGAGUACCGGAACUCAGAAAUGAAGCCCAGCUUUGCAUCCAAAGUAGAGAAUGGAAUUAAAAAUUGUGUACCACAGAGAACUCAGCUCCCGUCCACGGAGAACAUUGUUAUUCUGUCCUUAUCUUUGUUGAUAAUACCUUUUAUUCCUGCCACGAACCUGUUUUUCUAUGUCGGCUUUGUAAUCGCAGAGCGAGUCUUAUAUAUUCCCAGUAUGGGCUUCUGCCUUCUGAUCACAGUGGGUGCCAGAGCCCUGUAUGUCAAAGUACAAAAGAGGUUUCUCAAGAGCUUGGUUUUUUAUGCUACUGCCACGUUAAUUGUCUUCUACGGAGUCAAGACUGCGAUCAGGAACGGAGACUGGCAGAACGAGGAGAUGCUGUAUAGAUCAGGGAUCAAAGUGAACCCAGCCAAAGCAUGGGGUAACCUUGGAAAUGUUCUGAAGAGUCAGAGUAAAAUCUCUGAAGCUGAAAGCGCCUACAGAAAUGCUCUGUUCUACCGCAGCAACAUGGCUGACAUGCUGUAUAAUCUAGGGUUGCUGCUCCAAGAGAACAGCAGGUUUGCAGAAGCUCUUCACUAUUACAAACUGGCCAUUGGGAGCAGGCCUACCCUGGCUUCUGCCUAUUUAAACACCGGCAUUAUUCUCAUGAACCAAGGGAAGACAGAAGAAGCCCGGCGGACAUUCCUCAAGUGUUCUGAGAUUCCAGAUGAGAACCUGAAGGAUCCUCAUGCACAUAAGAGUUCUGUUACCAGCUGUCUGUACAACCUCGGGAAACUCUAUCACGAGCAAGGACGCUAUGAGGAAGCCCUGAGUGUAUAUAGGGAAGCAAUUCAGAAGAUGCCAAGGCACUUUGCCCCUCAGAGCCUGUACAACAUGAUGGGUGAAGCCUACAUGAGACUGAGUAAGCUUCCUGAAGCUGAGCAUUGGUACAUGGAAUCACUGAGAUCCAAGACCGAUCACAUCCCUGCUCAUCUCACCUACGGGAAGCUGCUCGCCUUAACAGGUCGUAAGAGUGAGGCUGAAAAGUUCUUCUUGAAGGCUAUUGAGCUGGAUCCUACCAAAGGAAACUGUUACAUGCACUAUGGUCAGUUUCUCCUAGAAGAGUCUCGCCUCACAGAAGCAGCAGAGAUGGCAAAGAAAGCAGCUGAGCUGGACAACACAGAGUUCGAUGUCGUCUUCAAUGCUGCCCAUAUGCUCAGACAAGCAAGCCUCAAUGAAGCCGCUGAGAAGUAUUACGAUCUGGCAGCAAGACUGAGACCUAAUGGGAGACAUCAAGCAAGGCAUCUGGACAAAGGCUAUACGUAAAGUUUAUCCUGCGGGCUGGCUGAUUAGCAGAUAGCAUUGCUCUCCUGCUACAGUGACCUUGGAUUACAUGAUCAUACGGCUCUGAUCGCUCAAGCAUCCCACACAUGGAAGGUGAACCUGUUUCAAGGAGGCUCCAUUUUGUUUAUGACAGAUAAUUCUUAACUUUUAUAUAUAUAUAUAUAUUUUUUUUUUUUGAUUUCUGAGACAGGAACUCAUUCUGUAGCUCAGGCUAACUUCAAAUGUAUUUACCUCACUCCGCCAAAUGCUGUGUAUAUAGACUUCAGCCAUCACUCCUGGACACACGUUUCUGUUGAGAAACACUACUAGUGGGACAUGACAGUGUACAAUUGUAAUCUCAGCAUUUGAAGGGCAGAAGCAAGAGAUAUGUGGUUUCAGCACCAGCCAUCGCUACAUAAGGAGUUCUAGGAUGGUUUGGAACCUGCACAACACUGACUUAAAAAAAAAAUCUUGAUUCCUACGUAACAUUUUGCAAAGUACCCUGCUGCUCUCAUGAACCUAGGGGCCAUUCUGCAUCUCAAUGGGCGACUGCAGAAGGCUGAGGCCAACUACCUGAGGGCCCUGCAACUCAAGCCAGAUGAUGUCAUCACUCAGUCUAAUCUCCGCAAGCUGUGGAACAUCAUGGAAAAGCAAGGUUUGAAGACCUCCAAGACCUGACACAGGAGAACUCCCCUCCUCCUCCUCCGCUUGUCAGAGCUGGCUUCAUUAACAGACAGAACUUCCCAGGAGUGCUGUGAUAAAAGCUCAAGGGCGACUUCAAGCCCAGGACAAAGGUCACUAUGGUUACUGCCACUGCUGGGAGAAUCCACUUUGCUAUGGGCACAGCCCUUAACACCAAAAAGGGGAACAUUGAGACCCUCUGGGAGGGUGUAAACUGUUACCCGUAGACUGUAAACCAGAGCACCUAAGAGGAUUUCGGAGAGUUCCUAGAAAGUAGAGGGGUCUCAUUUGCAGAUGUCCACUUUGGAGGGAGAAUUUGAAAUUCUAUUGUUUCUUAAACACUGUGAGAGGAAGUCAGAGAGCCCAUCCAGCCACAGUGAACUCUUAAGGGGGUGAUUAACACAAGUGUAAAUCCUCAGUGAGCCACCGGUUGUCCUUAUGCUGCUGCCUUCCCUCUUUGGGACAGCCUGCUUAUUGAUUGCUGAAGCUAAUCCAACUUUGGUUUUAACAGCGUGUCGGGAUCUGUCAGAAUCUCCAGUUGUUUCUUGGCUCGUGCACAUAAACAUUUUAUGGUUUGAAUGUCCUAGGCUUCCUAAGUGUUUAGCAUCAUUUUUCUGUCAUGUCUCAAAACGAACGUGUGGAGAAGAGCUAACCACUCGUAGAGGUGAUACAAGAGGACUUAGAGUGGCCUUGGGUGUGUGUCACAAAGGCAUUUUCAUUUCGAUAUUGUCAGUAUUGUCUCCCGUGUUGUUUAGUAGAUCUCAUUGUAUUAAUUUUUUUGAAAUUAUCUUCUAUGAUGUCUAUCCAUGGUUACUAUACAUGUUGUUCACUAAGGCUGAAAAAAAAAUGGGGAUAUAAGUGUUCCAGUUCUCAUAACUAAUCAUGACUAUAUAUGACACAGUCCUCGGUGCUUCCUAGCCAGUGGUUGCUAUAAUAAGCCAAUGCAGGGUAAGUACAUAAGGAUUGUUGCCAACGACUUUGUGUUUUGAAAAGAGCUGAUAUGAAAUACCCAUUGUGUCCUCGCAUACCUAAACACCAGUGCGGAUAAAUCCUGGAGGGUUGUCUCAUUUUGCUCUUCCUGAAAGAUGUCAAAAAUAAAUUAUUUUAAGAUGCCAUGGAGUAAACAUCAGCCUGCAUAUAUCUCCAUCGUCUGCCAAAUGCUUUUCUCAGUUAAAAGAUAUUUUCUCAUAGAAAACUGAGCGUUUUCUUUCCUCACCUCCUAUUAGCUAUUUCAGUGAUCAUUUUAUAAGUUAAAAGCUAUAAAUGAAACAAAGAAAAAAAUUUUUUAACAUUUUUGCCUUGUACUCAAACUUUACUACUAAAAAUUAAAUUCCCAGAAUACCAGUCUAUUAGCAACCUCUUUGUAGAGAAAUUAACUAUUCUGUACCCAACAUAUUUAUUUAUUUAUUAUCCAGCCAUAGCAAAAUAACAAAACAAGACAAAAAAGAUUUGCUAAAACAGUUAUUUGCUUUUUCUCCUUCCCUUCUAUACUCCAUGUAUAUAUAUAUAUGUAUAUGGUCAGUGAUUCCAUUAAAGGGAAGCUGGUCAUGAAAAAAAUUCUAUGUUUUCUCCCUAUAUUAUAUAUCAUGUCAUGUAUCGAAUACAGUGGAUAAAGAACUUGAGGUAGUGUUCCAAUGACAUUAGUUUCUAUGAGAGAACAGAUGUAGUGAGAGUUUUAAUGGGGUUUAUGAGAAGGCCCUCUUUAAAGUGUAUAUUACUCUGUAAACAUUUCACUCAAGGGCCAGAAGUUAAAGUAUAACUAAAUCGCUGUGUUGUCAGAAUAAUAUUUAACAUUAACAAGAACAAACCCAUGGUCAAACCAAAAAAUAGUGGGUUGAAGUAUACAUUUCAUUUUCUAAUGCAUUGGCAAUUCGGAUGACAAAGAAAUUUAAUAUAAAGCUGUAGAGAUAAAUUCAGUGUCUAACCUUUUUUUUUAAUUUAUUUAAAUAGUUGUGGCAUUCUAGUCUUUACAUUUUAUGUCUGUCUUAUUACUGUUCCUUCUUUCUAACACUUGUUUUCUGUAGGUUCACUGAAUGCACAAUAGUCACAUUUCACAUGACUCAACUCCCAAGUGGUGUUAAUCAUUGGGCCUGUGUCAUAAAAUGCAUGGAUCUUUAAUACCUACAUGUCGCUGACACUUUUCACUACAGGGCUGGACUUAGUAACUGACCAACUCGGGGGGGGGAGGGGGCGCUGGGGUAUUAGAACAUGAUCAAAAUGUCUCUGCUCAGGGAUUUAUGGUGGAUCAUUGCAGACAGUGCUAAAAAUGUAGAGCACAAGACAAGUUUACUAAAUUAAAAUUUUAUUUUUUGAAAAACUGUUAUUUGUAUAAAUUAUCAAGAUUUGUAGGCUUUCCUUUUGUAGAAAUAAUUGUUUGAUGUGCCAGAGAAUUUCAAUUUUGUUUUGAACAAUAAAGCAUUGAUAACAAA